UGCCCCUGCAAUCACCCUCAUCGCC
rnacentral:piRNA from 1 species